rnacentral:rRNA from 1 species
GACGAACGCUGGCGGCGUGCUUAACACAUGCAAGUCGAACGGAAAGGCCCUGCUUUUGUGGGGUGCUCGAGUGGCGAACGGGUGAGUAACACGUGAGUAACCUGCCCUUGACUUUGGGAUAACUUCAGGAAACUGGGGCUAAUACCGGAUAGGAGCUCCUGCUGCAUGGUGGGGGUUGGAAAGUUUCGGCGGUUGGGGAUGGACUCGCGGCUUAUCAGCUUGUUGGUGGGGUAGUGGCUUACCAAGGCUUUGACGGGUAGCCGGCCUGAGAGGGUGACCGGGCAUAAUGGGACUGAGAUGAGGCCCAGCCUACUACGGGAGGCAGAAGUGGGGAAUAUUGCAAAAUGGGGGGAAGACUGAUGCAGCAAAGCUGCGUGCGGGAUGACGGCAUUCGGGUUGUAAACCGCUUUCGCCUGUGACGAAGCGUGAGUGACGGUAAUGGGUAAAGAAGCAACGGCUAAGUAUGCG